GAUGAACGCUGACAGAAUGCUUAACACAUGCAAGUCGAUGGGGAAGUGGUGCUUGCACCAUGGUAACCAUGGCGGACGGGUGAGUAACGCGUAAGGAGCUUACCUGCGGGACCGGGAUAACAGCAGGAAACUGCUGACAAGACCGGAUAAGGUCAUUAAGCUGCAUAGCUUAGUGAUGAAAGGAGACGCCUGCGGAGAGCCUUGCGUCCUAUUAGCUAGUUGGAGGGGUAACGGCCCACCAAGGCGAAGAUAGGUAGCCGGCCUGAGAGGGUGGACGGCCACAAGGGGACUGAGAUACGGCCCUUACUCCUACGGGAGGCAGCAGUGGGGAAUAUUGGACAAUGGGGGCAACCCUGAUCCAGCAAUUCUGUGUGCACGAAGACGGUUUUCGGAUUGUAAAGUGCUUUCAGCAGGGAAGAAGGAAGUGACGGUACCUGCAGAAGAAGCGACGGCUAAAUACGUG
rnacentral:rRNA from 1 species